rnacentral:rRNA from 1 species
UACGUAGGGGGCGAGCGUUGUCCGGAGUACUGGGCGUAAAGCGCACGCAGGCGGUCUGCUAAGUUUGGAGUGACAGUUGGUGGCUUAACUGCCAAAGUGCUUCGAAAACUGACAGACUUGAAGGCUUCAGAGGGACACGGAAUCCGGGUGGAGUGGUGAAAUGCGUAGAGAUCCGGAGGAACACCAGUGGCGAAGGCGACACGCUGGGCCGUACCUGACACUGAUGCGCGACAGCAUGGGGGAGCAAACAGG